CAAGCCUCGAACCGGGGCUUCAUCUGGCACGCGCCUUUCUGCUCGACACAAGCUCCGAAGCCUCGCUUCAUUGGGCACAUCACUUGAUCACUAGCGGUUAGUGCCGUGGUUACAUCCAGCUCCUUGUCUCCACAAGCCCUCGCCGGCUACAAAUUGUGUCUGCGUGUGUCAAUGAAAAUUCACCGGUUUAGAGUGUGACCGCUAACUUGCUGAGUGCUGUUUGUUAUGCUGAGAGUUUUGGCCUGGGUGUGUACGAGUAAAAACCAGACGGCUUAAAGUGAUCGCUACGGAAUUACAACUAAAUAAGCUCCUGGUUAGACGCCGCGGCCUGCGUUCAUACAGGAGGACCGUCGUACGCCACCUUGGCCACUGUUUUUCCUGUGCCCUGUUUUAGUAUUCAGUUGUGUGUGUGUGUGUGUGUGUUUGUGUGAGUGCUGCAGUCUCUUGUGUAUGUUGCUGUAUGUUUCAUGUUUGUCUGUUGUAUGUUGUAUGCAUUCUAGGCCAUUGGGUUAGUGAGUGCAAUAUUCGGGAGGGGUAACAAUCUUGUUGUGUGGUCACUGGAUUGCUGUGUAUAGUAAAUGAAUUGCUGUGUGUGUGACCUGUGACGUGCCCUAUAUAUAUUUUGUGUUUGCUGAUUGAAACUUGCUGAAUCUUUGAGUGUUACUCAUCCAAACACCUUAAUUUUGCACAUUGUUGUCCCUGUGAGUUUGCUGCCCAGAGGCCUAGCGUCUGUUCUAAUACAUCUACGUAAAUAAUAAAAUUAAUUGUUUUUUACUUUUCUAAUAUUUCAGCCCCUCUCUCCAUUUAUUUCCCUUUAUUGGGAUAGCCUGCUUGUAACAUCUAAAACUCCGAUUGUUGGUUAUCAACCUGUAACUGGUUUAAAGGCCCCCUAGGGGUCACAAUAGCUUUGGCUAACUAAGUCACAUAUGUCAAACUCAAGGUCUGGGAAAAUGUCUAUACCUGGACAGUGAGAUUUUUUUACAUUUUCUAUUAAUAUACUGGCACAUUGUAGCAGGUUAAGUGGAAUCACAUAAUUGUGCUGCAGCACACAAAUGUCAUUGCCCCCCUUCCUGUGUGCUAUUAAUACUAGUAAUUAGCAGCUUUGACUCAGCGGUUGAAAAUAAAAGUAGAACUGAGCUUUUCGAGUCAGAUGGGAGGUACAGUACAUGUUCACUGUCAACAAGCAUAGCCUAAACCUGUCUGUCUUUUUCGUAGAGCUGAUGUGGCCAUACAUAAGGGAUAUUUCAUAGUCUGUCAGUCAGUAUAGGAAAGAAAUUCUAACAUGAUGAACAUCACCCCAAUGCAAUUCAACUUUCUGCAGCAUUUGAAUAAUAAUUUCAAAAUAAAAUAUUAGGAGACAUUAUAAAAUGAAAAACCAAAUAAGAUACAUAUGGGAAAACUGGAUAGGCAGCAGAGGCAGCAACAUAUAAUGGAGCUAAAGAAGUCCCUGUAACACCUGUAACACUUAGUUUAAGGAACACAUGUUAACCAUUUAAACAUAAUUAAUAUGUGUAUGUAGUAGUGCUCAACAAUGUCUGUAUUAAACUUCAUUUCAGAUUUAUUAGGUCUUUAUCAUUUUAGCAUACAUUUUUUGUCCCCUUAGAAUCAGAAGGUUCUAUCUGUGUUAGUUCUCUGAGGGCCAGAUGUACUAAGGCUUUUGAACCCACUUCAGGCGUAUUUCUGAACGUACGUAAAAUCAUGGUGAGAUAUUUACAAACAGGGCGCACAGAGGUAAAAGCGCAGACUGCCUGUCACGGGGCCUGAAAAUGGCAAAUUGCGCUUUUCCGUGUCAUGCAUAUCCAUUCAUGGGAGGAUCAAGGGGAAAGUGGGAGUUUCCUAUAAAGAGAUAGGAGGGAAGGUGUAAAGAGCACCUAUAAUUAUGUUUUCUGCGGUAUGUACAAAAAAUGUCCUUGUAAAAGCCUCUGCCUUGUAAGGCAGGUGUUGUAAUCCAAAUUGCAGUUAAAUGUUUCAAUAAGAGAACCUUUCAAAGACAACAGAAUCGCUAUUUACAGCACCAGUUUUGCAUCUUUGUACUAUAUCAAAAGCAGCCUUUCGUUGGCCUUUCAAAUGUCUUACUUUCACUUUCACAUCAUCCACUUAAACUUUCCUACUUGCUAGA